rnacentral:lncRNA from 1 species
AAGAAGUAGAAUCUAGAACGACCCAAGACAAAGAUUCAAGAACAAGUGGACACUAGGUAAAACGUUGAGGGUUUCUAAUUUCCUAGAGAGAUUAGGUAUAUAUUGGCAUAUGGGUUUGAUUUAAAAGGACUUGUUUUAUUUACAAUUGCAAUCAUUUUCCAUGCUUGUCUAUAAACAUUUUUCCUAUCACAAUCUCCAUGCCUUGUACGCGCACGACAAGUUUUUUUUUGUUUUUUGUUUUCUAUCACUAUGAUCA